rnacentral:lncRNA from 1 species
UGAUUUCUAAACCUUCCUUAACGUUGCUUGUUCCCUUCUUAUGUUCACUCACUGGGUUUAUACUCACGUUUUUAAACUUCAUGUUUUAGGUUUUCUGAGUUAAAGGUGACUGGUCCUAGGACGAGAUGCUCCUCCCUAUCCAUUGCUCGGUAGGUUUACCAUGACAUUAAAUAUUAGCAACCGUGCCCAGAGUCACUUCGCUAAUGGUCAAG